GACGUAGGAGGCGAGCGUUGUCCGGAUUCAUUGGGCGUAAAGAGCACGCAGGCGGUUUGGCAAGUCGGAUGUGAAAACCCGAAGCUCAACUUCGGGCCUGCAGCCGAAACUGCCCGACUAGAGGUAGGUAGGGGAGAUCGGAAUUCCUGGUGUAGCGGUGAAAUGCGCAGAUAUCAGGAGGAACACCGGUGGCGAAGGCGGAUCUCUGGGCCUUACCUGACGCUCAGGUGCGAAAGCUAGGGGAGCGAACAGG
rnacentral:rRNA from 1 species